UGCUCCUGUCUAAAUACCAUCAAGGCACCAGAUCCCUUCUGAUCUUGGAUGCUAAACAGAGUCAAGCCUGGUUAGUACUUGGAAUGGUCUCUGCCAAAGAAUACCGUGAGCUGCAGGUU
rnacentral:rRNA from 1 species